CAGCAGCCGCGGGAAUACGAAGGGGGCUAGCGUUGCUCGGAAUGACUGGGCGUAAAGGGCGCGUAGGCGGUUCGGAUAGUUAGAUGUGAAAUUCCCGGGCUUAACCUGGGGACUGCAUUUGAUACUUCCGGGCUUGAGUGUGGAAGAGGGUCGUGGAAUUCCCAGUGUAGAGGUGAAAUUCGUAGAUAUUGGGAAGAACACCGGUGGCGAAGGCGGCGACCUGGUCCAUAACUGACGCUGAGGCGCGAAAGCGUGGGGAGCAAACAGGAUUAGAUACCCGUGUAGUCCCUGUCUCUUAUAA
rnacentral:rRNA from 1 species